rnacentral:rRNA from 1 species
AGUGAACGUUGGCGGCGUGGAUUAGGCAUGCAAGUCGAGCGAUCGUAGCAAUACGGGAGCGGCAAACGGGGUAGGAAUACAUCGGAGCGUACCCUUUGGUCAGGGAUAGCGUUGGGAAACUGACGGUAAUACCUGAUAAAGUCGAGAGACCAAAGGUUUACUGCCGGAGGAGCGGCCGAUGCGAUAUUAGGUAGUUGGUGGGGUAAUGGCCUACCAAGCCUGAGAUGUCUAGGGGGGUGUGAGAGCAUGGCCCCCACCACUGGGACGUGAGAAACUGCCCAGACACCUACGGGUGGCUGCAGUCGAGGAUCUUCGUCAAUGGGCGAAAGCCUGAACGAGCGACGCCGCGUGCGGGAUGAAGGCCCUUGGGUUGUAAACCGCUGUCAGGGGGGAGUGAAACCGACAAGGUUGACAGAGCCCCACGAGGAAGCACGGGCUAAGUUCGUGCCAGCAGCCGCGGUAAAGUAUCGU